UCGGCUGAAGUUCGGUAGCGGUCAGAGCUGGUGACGGAGCCUGGCUCCCGUAGGAGCCCGGGCAGAGUACUCCUUGUGAUUGAAGUCGUGGGCGGAGCCCGGCUCCCGUAGGAGUCCGGGCGGAGUCCUCCUGCAAUUAAACUCAGGUGCGAAGUCCGGCUCCCGUGGGAGUCCAGACGGAGCUUACCGGCAGUUGAAGUUGGCGACGGAGCCCGGCUCCCGUAGGAGUCCGGGCGGAGUCCUCCUUGAGGUUGG
rnacentral:lncRNA from 1 species